UCUGUUUGAAUCCUGGCGGAGGCCACUGCUAUCGGAGUUCGAUUAAGCCAUGCGAGUCGAGAGGUGCAAGACCUCGGCAUACUGCUCAGUAACACGUGGACAACCUACCCUAUGGAGGGGGAUAACCCCGGGAAACUGGGGAUAAUACCCCAUAGACUAUAGAUGCUGGAAUGCUUUGUAGUUGAAAGGUCCGCCGCCAUAGGAUGGGUCUGCGGCCGAUUAGGUUGUUGUUGGGGUAACGGCCCAACAAGCCUGUAAUCGGUACGGGUUGUGGGAGCAAGAGCCCGGAGAUGGAUUCUGAGACACGAAUCCAGGCCCUACGGGGCGCAGCAGGCGCGAAAACUUUACAAUGCGGGAAACCGUGAUAAGGGAACUCCGAGUGCCCGUAAAAUCGGGCUGUCCAUCUGUUUAAAUAACAGGUGAAGAAAGGGCCGGGCAAGACCGGUGCCAGCCGCCGCGGUAAUACCGGCGGCUCGAGUGGUGGCCACUAUUACUGGGCUUAAAGCGUUCGUAGCUGGUCUGUUAAGUCUCUGGGGAAACCUACUGGCUUAACCAAUAGGCGUCUCAGGGAUACUGGCAGACUAGGGACCGGGAGAGGUGAGAGGUACUCCAGGGGUAGGAGUGAAAUCCUGUAAUCCUUGGGGGACCACCUGUGGCGAAGGCGUCUCACCAGAACGGCUCCGACAGUGAGGGACGAAAGCUGGGGGAGCAAACCGGAUUAGAUACCCGGGUAGUCCCAGCCGUAAACGAUGCGCGUUAGGUGUAUCGGUGACCACGAGUCACCGAGGUGCCGAAGAGAAAUCGUGAAACGUGCCGCCUGGGAAGUACGGUCGCAAGGCUGAAACUUAAAGGAAUUGGCGGGGGAGCACCACAACAGGUGGAGCCUGCGGUUUAAUCGGACUCAACGCCGGAAAUCUCACCGGAUAAGACAGCUGGAUGAUAGUCGGGCUGAAGACUCUACUUGACUAGCUGAGAGGAGGUGCAUGGCCGUCGUCAGUUCGUACUGUGAAGCAUCCUGUUAAGUCAGGCAACGAGCGAGACCCA
rnacentral:rRNA from 1 species